CAUCUUUAUUUUAACCGCUGAAGCGCCUAUAUAGAGCCUGUCAGUUUCGACUGACUAUGGCGAUAAACGGGCUGCGUAAUAAGCCAUUCGGACCCGGGGGCGGUACCCGGCGCCUCCACCAAUUAUCUCCCCGUCGCGGCGGGAAUUCUUGGGGGCGAACUAGGAUCGACGAGGGUGUAAAGGCUUCUCUUUUGCCCGGCAUGGUUCCGCCGUUAUCGGGCCGAUUUAUAGUUGCCAACGACAACUAUGCUGAGGUUGCUCUCGCUGCGUAAGCAGUGCUGGCACUUCAAUUUAAGUCCUUAGCCUGUUGCAGGGUUAAGGCGGGGUUCGGGGGUACCUGGCAACAGAAACCCCCACU
rnacentral:tmRNA from 1 species